rnacentral:misc_RNA from 1 species
AAAGUCGUAACAAGGUUUCCGUAGGUGAACCUGCGGAAGGAUCAUUACUGAUUUGGCGGACCGAGCGUCAGCGAGGUUCCGCGAUCACAUAUAUUUAAAACCCACACCUUGAAUUAUUAUAUUUUUGUAUUUUUUAAAUGAUAAAAUAAAAAAAGAUCACUUUCAACAACGGAUCUCUUGGCUCUC